rnacentral:rRNA from 1 species
UACGUAGGGUGCGAGCGUUAAUCGGAAUUACUGGGCGUAAAGCGUGCGUAGGCGGUUCGCUGUGUCCGAUGUGAAAGCCCCGGGCUUAACCUGGGAAUGGCAUUGGAAACUGGCGGGCUUGAGUGCGGCAGAGGGGGUGGGAAUUCCUGGUGUAGCGGUGAAAUGCGCAGAUAUCAGGAAGAACACCCGUGGCGGAAGGCGGCUCUCUGGGACGGUACUGACGCUGAGACGCGAAAAGCGUGGGGAGCGAACAGG